rnacentral:miRNA from 1 species
AGCCUUCUGUUGUGCAUCUGAGA